CAGUCGCCGCGGGAAUACGUAGGGUGCAAGCGUUAAUCGGAAUUACUGGGCGUAAGCGUGCGCAGGCGGUUAUAUAAGACAGAUGUGAAAUCCCCGGGCUCAACCUGGGAACUGCAUUUGUGACUGUAUAGCUAGAGUACGGCAGAGGGGGAUGGAAUUCCGCGUGUAGCAGUGAAAUGCGUAGAUAUGCGGAGGAACACCGAUGGCGAAGGCAAUCCCCUGGGCCUGUACUGACGCUCAUGCACGAAAGCGUGGGGAGCAAACAGGAUUAGAGACCCGCGUAGUCCCUGUCUCUUAUACA
rnacentral:rRNA from 1 species